UCACUCUGGAGAAGCUCAUGAACUGUGGGUGCCGAAGGUGCAAAGCGGCGCGGCGACGCGCUGCCAAUCUCUCAGGCAAAAGGACAGAGGACG
rnacentral:ncRNA from 1 species